rnacentral:lncRNA from 1 species
CCUCCCGACUAAGCGCGCAACAUUACGGAUCGAGCCAACUUAAAUGGCAGAAUAUGUCUAAGUCAGCAUUUGGCUGACUUGGUUCGACAUACAAUCCACGUCUGGCCGACAAUGUUCAACAUCCAGAUGAUGUUCAACCGACAACUUCCUUGGCAUUAUGCCGACUAUCUUAAUCCUAUAGAUUUGGAGAUCAAACGACGAUUAUCUAGCAUGAGUAUU